CGGCGAGUGAAGCGGCAACAGCUCAAAUUUGAAAUCUGGCUCUCGGGCCCGAGUUGUAAUUUGUAGAGGAUGCUUUUGAUGCGGUGCCUUCCGAGUUCCCUGGAACGGGACGCCAUAGAGGGUGAGAGCCCCGUCUGGUUGGAUGCCAAAUCUCUGUAAAGCUCCUUCGACGAGUCGAGUAGUUUGGGAAUGCUGCUCUAAAUGGGAGGUAUAUGUCUUCUAAAGCUAAAUACCGGCCAGAGACCGAUAGCGCACAAGUAGAGUGAUCGAAAGAUGAAAAGCACUUUGAAAAGAGAGUUAAAAAGUACGUGAAAUUGUUGAAAGGGAAGCGUUUAUGACCAGACUUGGGCUUGGUUAAUCAUCUGGGGUUCUCCCCAGUGCAC
rnacentral:rRNA from 1 species